UUUUGGCAUCGAUAUUCAUAAGGGAA
rnacentral:piRNA from 1 species